UACGUAGGGUGCAAGCGUUGUCCGGAAUUAUUGGGCGUAAAGAGCUCGUAGGUGGCCUGUCGCGUCGGCUGUGAAAACUCGGGGGCUCAACUCCGAGCUUGCAGUCGAUACGGGCAGGCUAGAGUUCGGCAGGGGAGACUGGAAUUCCUGGUGUAGCGGUGAAAUGCGCAGAUAUCAGGAGGAACACCGGUGGCGAAGGCGGGUCUCUGGGCGAUGACCUGACGCUGAGGAGCGAAAGUGUGGGGAGCGAACAGG
rnacentral:rRNA from 1 species